ensembl:lncRNA
GCAUGACAGGAGAGCAAAUACUAUGAAAAACUGCAUGGUUUGAGAUAAACAUGUAGAGAUCACUCACCAAUUACCAUCACAGGCAAAACAGAUCUGACUUGUGGAAAAUUAACUUCAUCAACUGCCAAUUAAAAUAGAGUAGAAUGAUGAGAAAUAAGAAGUGAAAACAUCACCCAGGCCCCUGCAGACCUCUGCACAGAGCUGGAACACCUGCACACAGAUGUAUAGUGUGCAACUCAUGAGAGAUGCUCCACUUUCUUCACCAUCUUCAUGGCUCUUUGCUGUACUAUUUUCAGUAGCUCCAUGUCUCCAACAAGAGCACAGAAUGACAGAAUCACAGAAUGGCCUGGGUUGGAAGAGACCUCAAGGAUCAUGAAUCUCCAAACUGCCUGCCGGACAGGGCCACCAACCUCCCCAUUUACUAGACCAGGUUGCCCAGGGUCCCAUCCAACCUGGCCUUGAACACCUCCAGGGACGGAGCAUCUACAACCUCUCUGGGCAGCCCGUUCCAGCACCUCACCACUCUCCUGGGGCUCUUCAAAUGGAACCAGGAAAUGCUUGUGGAAGUUCAGAAAGCUGCUAAAAUGAGGGACCUGUGGAAUUUCCAUCUGGAGACAGUCAUUUAUCAACAGGUGAAGCAGAAGGGAGCAAACAUGCUAAAAAAGCUGGUCAUGGUAAAUAAAACAUACAUAAAAAGAAAAAGGAAGCAAAGGCUCAGAGAUGUAUAUUAGAUGAUAGUCGUGAUUAAAUCUAUGUUUGCAAAUGUAUAUUUUUGUUCAUUCAAAACCAAAUUUCUGUUUAAAUGAGUGACUAGCCCCAAAAAGUCUGUUUUGUAUCUACACCUCAUUAAAGAAACACAUUCUGGAAUUGUGUCAGAAAUAAUUAAAUGUCUAAGCAUAGUGAACCAUCAAAGUAUCUCAAUAAUACUCCUUAUUUGUGCAGAAAUAUAUAUUCCUAUUUGCAUAGAAGUGUUGCUGAAACAUCUUCAAAACAAAUUCUGAAAAGAAGACAAGGAAACUAUUCAUGACAAUGAAAAUUUAGUAAGAAGAAAUAUCAGCUAGGUGACACAAAACUGAGUGUCAGUUCUAUCAUCUUCUGCUGAUGAUGGUCACUUGUUAAGAUACAAAGAAAGCUGAUUCUGUG